UUAGAGUUUGAUCCUGGCUCAGGACGAACGCUGGCGGCGCGCCUAACACAUGCAAGUCGAACGAGCGAGAGAGAGCUUGCUUUCUCGAGCGAGUGGCGAACGGGUGAGUAACGCGUGAGGAACCUGCCUCAAAGAGGGGGACAACAGUUGGAAACGACUGCUAAUACCGCAUAAGCCCACGGCUCGGCAUCGAGCAGAGGGAAAAGGAGCAAUCCGCUUUGAGAUGGCCUCGCGUCCGAUUAGCUAGUUGGUGAGGUAACGGCCCACCAAGGCGACGAUCGGUAGCCGGACUGAGAGGUUGAACGGCCACAUUGGGACUGAGACACGGCCCAGACUCCUACGGGAGGCAGCAGUGGGGAAUAUUGCACAAUGGGGGAAACCCUGAUGCAGCGACGCCGCGUGGAGGAAGAAGGUCUUCGGAUUGUAAACUCCUGUUGUUGGGGAAGAUAAUGACGGUACCCAACAAGGAAGUGACGGCUAACUACGUGCCAGCAGCCGCGGUAAAACGUAGGUCACAAGCGUUGUCCGGAAUUACUGGGUGUAAAGGGAGCGCAGGCGGGAAGACAAGUUGGAAGUGAAAUCUAUGGGCUCAACCCAUAAACUGCUUUCAAAACUGUUUUUCUUGAGUAGUGCAGAGGUAGGCGGAAUUCCCGGUGUAGCGGUGGAAUGCGUAGAUAUCGGGAGGAACACCAGUGGCGAAGGCGGCCUACUGGGCACCAACUGACGCUGAGGCUCGAAAGUGUGGGUAGCAAACAGGAUUAGAUACCCUGGUAGUCCACACCGUAAACGAUGAAACUAGGUGUUGGAGGAUUGACCCCUUCAGUGCCGCAGUUAACACCAAUAAGUAAUCCACCUGGGGAGUACGACCGCAAGGUUGAAACUCAAAGGAAUUGACGGGGGGCCCGCACAAGCAGUGGAGUAUGUGGUUUAAUUCGACGCAACGCGAAGAACCUUACCAAGUCUUGACAUCCUGCGACGGUUCUGGAAACAGAACUUUCCUUCGGGACGCAGAGACAGGUGGUGCAUGGUUGUCGUCAGCUCGUGUCGUGAGAUGUUGGGUUAAGUCCCGCAACGAGCGCAACCCUUAUGGUCAGUUACUACGCAAGAGGACUCUGGCCAGACUGCCGUUGACAAAACGGAGGAAGGUGGGGAUGACGUCAAAUCAUCAUGCCCUUUAUGACUUGGGCUACACACGUACUACAAUGGCGUUAAACAAAGAGAAGCAAGACCGCGAGGUGGAGCAAAACUCAGAAACAACGUCCCAGUUCGGACUGCAGGCUGCAACUCGCCUGCACGAAGUCGGAAUUGCUAGUAAUCGCAGAUCAGCAUGCUGCGGUGAAUACGUUCCCGGGCCUUGCACACACCGCCCGUCA
rnacentral:rRNA from 1 species